GACUUUGUAGCUUAAUUGGUAGAGCGGUGGGGUGGAAUCCCUAAAUCAUGAGUUCGAUCCUCGCACGGGUUCA